rnacentral:lncRNA from 1 species
CAUGAAACUAAAUAUGUGUGUAGUGCUAUUGAACAUGUUUCAGUUGUUAACAAGCAAAUGAGCGUUACCAAUUUCGAUACCUCAAUUUUAUACAAAGAGCUAAAUCUUGAAAAAGUAAUUGUGUGACAAAAAAAAAAUCCUUAUCCCGGAGUUGCAUCACAAAAGGAUUGUUGGUUUUUGCAAAUGGGAAUAUCAUACGUUGCCCGACAAUUUUACCUCAGAUGCCGAACUGUCAACAUGAACCAUCAUCUAUUUAAACUACCGCUUUCCUGAAAUGAAUUGUGCAUCUUCAUCGAAAUUAUCAGUCUGAUUCAUAGAUCACUGCACAAGAUGAUAUUAUCAAAAGGAUAGGGUGAUGUCUUUUAAGUAUAAUAACACCAAAUCAUACCACAUGCAGUUGUAUACGGAAAUGGGUUGAAAAAAAUAUGUCUUGAAUUUGACAGUGGUAGGAAAUUAUUCCUACAUUUCAUGGCAGUAACAAAAAAGUCUAUGUCAUAGACAUAUAUUAUGUGCGUUUUAAAGCACCAUUAUUUGUUUAUUUGGUGUUUCUAUUGCAUUCUUUUGGGGUUAUCUGAUUACUAACAUUUUAAGACCAGAAAAUGUGAACAUUUUACUCGUUAACUUCCAGUUAUGAUUAUAUUCGUAUAUGCAAUGAAACGUAAUGUGAAAGUUUGUCUUUAGUACCGGACAGGAUAACACCUUUCUCAUGCCAGUACUUUAAUUAUUAUACUUUAAAACAAAGAUGAAUUCAUCACAAUAUUUUUCAAAAGUGCAAAUUUAACAAAGACUGAUGGGGAAAAAUCAAAGGUGGUAUUACACCCAAUAAAUACCUAGUUGUUACAUUUGUUUCAAGAUUAACAUUAUACUAGCAAUAAAGAUUAGCUACAUUUUCUGCUUUUGAAAUAUAGAAAUGGAACGGGACUAUAGCAUCUCUUUUACUCACAAUAACAAUCUGAGUUCACGUAAGACGGCAAUAAGACAGAUUGGAUAGACAACAUAUAAAAAACAAACUAUGUAUAGGAAGAUGUUAUAUGAGUGCCAAUUAAAAAAACUGUUUACAAAUGAAAAUAAUUAAUAUUGUGAAAGUGUAGGUUAGCAUGUAUCAUCGAAUAAAUUCAACAGUAGUUUACCGAUAUUCAAAAGUCAUAAAUCGAUUUAGAGAAAACAAAUCUGGGUAGCAAAGUAGCACAAUACAAAAGCAACUAAAUUUAAUAAAAAUUUCGUUUUUAGCUGUUUUUGGUUACCUCAUUAUCUUCCAAAAUCACAC